rnacentral:tRNA from 1 species
GGGCGGUUGGCUCAGUGGUUAGAGCGCCUCGUUCACACCGAGGAGGUCAAUGGUUCAAAUCCAUUACCGCCCACCA